GAUGAACGCUGGCGGCGUGCCUAAUACAUGCAAGUCGAGCGAACGGACGAGAAGCUUGCUUUUCUGAUGUUAGCGGCGGACGGGUGAGUAACACGUGGAUAACCUACCUCUUAGACUGGGAUAACUUCGGGAAACCGGAGCUAAUACCGGAUAAUAUUUUGAACCGCAUGGUUCAAGAGUGAAAGACGGUCUUGCUGUCACUUAUAGCUGGAUCCGCGCUGCAUUAGCUAGUUGGUAAGGUAACGGCUUACCAAGGCAACGAUGCAUAGCCGACCUGAGAGGGUGAUCAGCCACACUGGAACUGAGACACGGUCCAGACUCCUACGGGAGGCAGCAGUAGGGAAUCUUCCGCAAUGGGCGAAAGCCUGACGGAGCAACGCCGCGUGAGUGAUGAAGGUCUUCGGAUCGUAAAACUCUGUUAUUAGGGAAGAACAGAUGUGUAAGUAACUGUGCACAUCUUGACGGUACCUAAUCAGAAAGCCACGGCUAACUACGUG
rnacentral:rRNA from 1 species